rnacentral:lncRNA from 1 species
UCAAGUAAAUUUCCAGACCUAAACUUCACCCCAUAUGUUCUUUCUAUUUAACCAUGCAUACGUGACACAAACAGUGAGCCUGGGUUACCUAUGAUGUAUCUUGCAUCAAUAAGAUUGUCACAUAAGGGUAUGUAUCUUGCAGCAAUCAAAUCAUAGCAUUGGGGCACGUUUGCACCAAUCAGAGCUCCAGAUAAUGUUCCUCAUGUCAAUCAUAUCAUGUAAUUUGGAUUUUGCGAAGUAAUAUAAAUAUUGGAUUCAACCAAAAAUUGAUGCACAUUAAGAACGACAUCAACAAAUAAUUGUGAGCAGGUCUAUUGUGCGAACUAAUAUAUUUCCUAUGUCAACUUUGAGCAUUAACUUUCACAUGCUUACAUAGUAGUUCUUUAGAAAAAAAAAAACUCAAAAAGGAGGAAAAAAAGAAGGGAUCUUCAGUCACGUAAGCCUCAGUUCCCAGAUGUGCUCUUUAAGCGACAGCAGCCCCAGUAACAACUGUAGGAAAUGUUUCAACCAUUCAGUGUAAUAAAGAGAUGGAUCCUCAUCUUUAUCCAUGAUGAUGGACUGAUCUCCCACAAGGAGCUUUAUUCCUGAAGAAGAACUUAAUGAGAACAAUGACAAUCCACCACAGGAGCAACUUGAGUAGCAUUAUACGGGUGAUGCCAAUUUUAGAAAUCUCCAUCUUAUACCUCAUUUACACCAGCAAAAUGUGUUUACUUGAACUGGCUUAAACUGAAUAAAAAUCACAAACCAUGAACAGAAAACUAAUUUAUCAUACAAUUCAAGAGGUCAGUAACUUGUAUUUUCAAUGUACUAAAUUUGAAAUGAAAGAACUUCAGUUAAAGCAGCUGCUUCUAUGAACAAAACAUAUUUAAACUGCAUUGGACACAACAGGUUUAAAACAUGUUUAACCUUUGGUGUGAAAGGGGUAUUAGAGGAUAAUUCUUUACUUGUUAUAGACGAACAACAUAUGGCGAGGCUUUGGAAAAAUGGGAAAAAAGGUGUAGGUAAACAAUUAUUUCUCCCUACAAUAACAAUAAGUGCAAUAACUUCACAGUUUUGAAACAAGUUAUUGCACUUCCUUCAAUAAGCCCCCUGAGCCUAAUUAACAUUUCAUUUAAAGGGAAGGGCACUUAUUGAAAGGAGGGGGCUUAGUCUAGAGAGGCACUUAUUAAAGGGAAAGUACAGACUAGAAAAAGUUUGUCUCAAUUGAAGAAUUUUUCCUUAGGAGUUCCAAAACUGCCAUUUUGUCCAGUUUGAUCUGUAUUGGCGACAAGAGCGCUUUGAAGUUGCCCAUUUUUACAACUUUUGUGGUUAGAAAAAAACCAUCUUGGAUAUUAUGUUAGUUGUGACAUACCAAUAGUCAAACUAUCCUUGUUGAAUUGUUUGACCUUUGUGAAAACAAUUUCUAAUACUCUUAAUAAUUGAAAUGAGGUGAAUUGUCAGGUGGAUGAAUGUCAAAAUACCAAAAUUCAAAAGGAAAAUGUGUAAGCCUAAAAAACUACCGGAAAGUGAAAUAUUAAAGAAAAGCAAGCCUGCAAAAAUAACCUGUGAGGACAGCUUGCCAAACCCUGCAAAACAAAGACUUCCAGCAAGAUAUACAGGCAUGUAAGUUUUCAUUGUUGACCUUCACUUCGAACUGAAAGCUGUGCUUAUCUUUUCCAUAUUCAACACAAAUUUCAGUUAUUAUAUGAAUUUUUUCAAACCACUUUUCCAAUCAAUUUUGUCGGUGUUUAUGCAUACGAAGAAUGAUCUUCAAGUCUAUCAUUUCUAACUUGUUUCAUGCCAACUGGGGCUGUUCUUAGUUCCAAAUGGCUUGUGUUCAGUUCUGCACCAAAGCUGGGUUCCUGUAACUGCAAAAAUAAUUCAUCUCAAUCUAAGGUAUCAAUGCGAAAUGAAUCCGUCACGGGCACUGCGGUCUUCUUUAGCAAAAUAACUAUCACUCCACAGCUUGGAUUUGUUUGAGGAAAAAGCCUUUGCCUUUCAAAUUGAGUCGGUGUCCUAGUACAUUUAAUUCUUAGGAACAUACAUUCUCGUUUUCCGUAGGUUUCUUUCAACAGUUGCUGCAAGAGAACCACUUGCGAUUUCCAAGACAUGAGCAACUGAGCGGGUCAACAUUUCUUCUUGAAACUCAUUUUCCUGAC